AUUGAACGCUGGCGGCAGGCCUAACACAUGCAAGUCGAAUGGUAACAGGAAACAGCUUGCUGUUUCGCUGACGAGUGGCGGACGGGUGAGUAAUGUCUGGGAAACUGCCUGAUGGAGGGGGAUAACUACUGGAAACGGUAGCUAAUACCGCAUAACGUCGCAAGACCAAAGAGGGGGACCUUCGGGCCUCUUGCCAUCAGAUGUGCCCAGAUGGGAUUAGCUAGUAGGUGGGGUAACGGCUCACCUAGGCGACGAUCCCUAGCUGGUCUGAGAGGAUGACCAGCCACACUGGAACUGAGACACGGUCCAGACUCCUACGGGAGGCAGCAGUGGGGAAUAUUGCACAAUGGGCGCAAGCCUGAUGCAGCCAUGCCGAGUGUAUGAAGAAGGCCUUCGGGUUGUAAAGUACUUUCAGCGGGGAGGAAGGGAGUAAAGUUAAUACCUUUGCUCAUUGACGUUACCCGCAGAAGAAGCACCGGCUAACUCCGUG
rnacentral:rRNA from 1 species